UACAGAGGUCUCAAGCGUUAAUCGGAAUCACUGGGCUUAAAGGGUGCGUAGGCGGCUUCGCAAGUGCUUUGUGAAAGCCCCCGGCUCAACCGGGGAACUGCAAGGCAUACUGCGUGGCUUGAGGAAACUAGAGGCCGGUAGAACGAUAGGUGGAGCGGUGGAAUGCGUAGAUAUCUAUCGGAAUGCCGAAAGUGAAGACAGCCGACUGGGGUUUUCCUGACGCUGAAGCACGAAAGCGUGGGGAGCAAACCGG
rnacentral:rRNA from 1 species